GCCCCUAUAGCUCAGUGGUAGAGCGUUCCACUCGUAAGCACGUGAUCACAUUAUGUGAACUAGUCUACAACGAAAUGGAGAGGUCCAUCGUUCAAUCCGGUGUGGGGGCA